AUGCUCUGGUUUCUCUUCAGAACGAAUAAAUCUUUCACCUUUUACUAAAGAUUUCCAUGGAGAGAAACAGUUAUGAGUCAGUAAACAAAUUUUGUGAGGCCUGGCAUAUGCAGGGCC
rnacentral:snRNA from 1 species